rnacentral:rRNA from 1 species
GUUAGUAACUGCUAUGUCCCCCAAAACCAAAGAAUUUGGCGGUACCUAAUCUAAUUAGAGGAACUUGUGCCAUCAAUGAUACUCCGCAAACAUCUUACUUUCACUUUGUAAAUCCAGCUCGUAUACCGUCAUUAUAAGUAGCUCCCAAAGAAGUUGCUAGAAUAGGACUACCCCUAAAAUAUUAGAUCAAGGUGCGGCUUAUAGUGAAGCGAUUCCGCAUGAGUUACAAUUUUUGUAAAAAAUACGAAAUAGUGGAUGAAACUCUUCUAUGAAGGUGGAUUUAAUUGUAAACCGAGAACAUCACUCUUGGUUGAAUUAGCUAUUAGGUAUGUACACA